rnacentral:lncRNA from 1 species
AAACCACUACACUUACAACACAAACAAGAAGCCAAGAACCAUCAUCAUCAUCGAUCGCGGCUUCCCAGCAGCCGAUCGAUGCCGAUUGCGCGCUUACUCUCGCGAGUGCGUGAUCUCCCAGCUAACCGUACGCACAUAAGGCACGUAUGCACUAGAUAUUGGGCAAUUUCAAAACCGAAGGCCGAUCGUUGGAUGAUUACCCUAGCACAAAACACAACAUGCACAUCCACCGAUUAUGUUUAUGCUCAUCAUCACAUCAACAUACCGGACCGACAUCAACCAUGCCAGCAUCAAACUAAUUUCCCGUUGGGGAAAUCAAGUCGAGCAGCCACCCUGGCGACGCCCCGGUACUCACUCUCCAAUCUCUUAUCGGCCGACGCCAACUAGAGCCGUGAGUGAUAAAGCGAGGCGCGAUCGGUCAGGCAAUAUAGCCGAUCGUCGCCCGCGGAUCAUCAUCAGUCACUGGUUUAUCGUAAAGGAGACCGCGUCGAUCGUCAACCCGAUAUAUUUUCCGCCAGACGAUCGACCUGAAGAAGAAGUUUAGUUCGAGGAAUUUCUGUGGUGAAAACCGUCUCACCAGUGAGGAAGAACAAGGCGUGGAAUAAUAACCGCACUGGAGUGCGAGGUGCCGCGACACCGUAAAUUGGUCGUGGUGGAGAGUGAGGUGGCGUCUACGAUCAGCAUGGAAAGCAUGGCCAUGCUGGAGUAGAUAGGAGUACUUGAGAUCGGCCUUCAUUUCCUGUUUCACAAGCUGAAUUCCAUCAUGGCUGGAGCCGUGGUGUGGAGCAGUGCGCUGCUGUGCAUUCCUGCCGACUGGACGGCGGGGCUAAUGCACCGGAUGGCCGGCGUUCUCGCCGGUGACCAAGCUGGGUUCUGCCCGGGCAGCAACGUUGUUCCGGAUCGUCGAGGGAUACACGGGGUCACACACACACACAGGUUUACACCCGCAACUCUAGUUUUAAGGACGCCAAC